rnacentral:rRNA from 1 species
GUGAGGAAUUUUCCGCAAUGGGCGAAAGCCUGACGGAGCAAUGCCGCGUGAAGGAUGAAGGCCUAUGGGUUGUAAACUUCUUUUCUCAGAAAAGAAUUAUGACGGUAUCUGAGGAAUAAGCAUCGGCUAACUCUGUGCCAGCAGCCGCGGUAAGACAGAGGAUGCAAGCGUUAUCCGGAAUGAUUGGGCGUAAAGCGUCUGUAGGUUGUUUAAAAAGUAUUCUGUCAAAGAUUAGGGCUUAACCCUAGAUAGGAAGAAUAAACUUUUAAGCUAGAGUUUGGUAGAGGCAGAGGGAAUUCCCGGUGGAGCGGUGAAAUGCGUAGAUAUCGGGAGGAACACCAAAGGCGAAGGCACUCUGCUGGGCCAAUACUAACACUGAGAGACGAAAGCGAGGGGAGCAAAUGGGAUUAGAUACCCCGGUAGUCC